GAUGAACGCUGGCGGCGUGCCUAAUACAUGCAAGUCGAACGCAUUGAGAGAAGUGCUUGCACUUUUCAAUUUGAGUGGCGAACGGGUGAGUAACACGUGGGCAACCUACCUGAUAGCGGGGGAUAACGAGUGGAAACAUUCGCUAAUACCGCAUAACAAUAGAGAAGGCAUCUUCUUUAUUUAAAAGGCGCUUUCAAGCGUCACUAUCAGAUGGGCCCGCGGUGCAUUAGUUAGUUGGUGGGGUGAAGGCCUACCAAGACGAUGAUGCAUAGCCGAGUUGAGAGACUGAUCGGCCAAAUUGGGACUGAGACACGGCCCAAACUCCUACGGUGGGCUGCAGUAGGGAAUCUUCAACAAUGGACGAAAGUCUGAUGGAGCAACGCCGCGUGUGUGAUGAAGGCUUUCGGGUCGUAAAGCACUGUUGUAUGGGAAGAAAUGCUAGGCUAGGAAAUGAGCUUAGUUUGACGGUACCAUACCAGAAAGGGACGGCUAAAUACGUGCCAGCCGCCGCCGUAA
rnacentral:rRNA from 1 species